rnacentral:rRNA from 1 species
ACACGACUACAUUAGAUACCCGCGUAGUCCUAGCCGUAAACGAUACUCGCUAGGUGUCGGCCACGGUGCGACCGUUGUCGGUGCCGUAGGGAAGCCGUGAAGCGAGCCACCUGGGUAGUACGGCCGCAAGGCUGAAACUUAAAGGAAUUGGCGGGGGAGCACAACAACGGGUGGAGCUUGCGGUUUAAUUGGAUUCAACGCCGGAAAUCUUACCGGGACCGACAGCAACAUGAAGGCCAAGCUGAAGACUUUGCCGGAUUAGCUG